rnacentral:rRNA from 1 species
GAUGAACGCUGGCGGCGUGCCUAAUACAUGCAAGUCGAGCGAACGGACGAGAAGCUUGCUUCUCUGAUGUUAGCGGCGGACGGGUGAGUAACACGUGGAUAACCUACCUAUAAGACUGGGGUAACUUCGGGAAACCGGAGCUGAUACCGGAUAAUAUUUUGAACCGCAUGAUUCAAAAGUGAAAGACGGUCUUGCUGUCACUUAUAGAUGGAUCCGCGCUGCAUUAGCUAGUUGGUAAGGUAACGGCUUACCAAGGCAACGAUGCCUAGCCGACCUGAGAGGGUGAACCGCCACACUGGAACUGAGACACGGUCCCGACUCCUAAGGGGGGCAGCAGUAGGGAAUCUUCCGCAAUGGGCGAAAGCCUGACGGAGCAACGCCGGGUGAGUGAUGAAGGUCUUCGGAUCGUAAAACUCUGUUAUUAGGGAAGAAAAUAUGUGUAAGUAACUGUGCACAUCUUGACGGUACCUAAUCAGAAAGCCACGGCUAACUACGUG